AUACAGAGGGUGCGAGCGUUAAUCGGAAUUACUGGGCGUAAAGCGCGCGUAGGCGGCUUUGCAAGUCGGGUGUGAAAUCCCCAGGCUUAACCUGGGAACUGCAUUCGAGACUGCAUUGCUAGAGUAUGGGGAGAGGGAAGUGGAAUUUCAGGUGUAGCGGUGAAAUGCGUAGAUAUCUGAAGGAACAUCAGUGGCGAAAGCGACUUCCUGGACCAAUACUGACGCUCAUGUGCGAAAGCGUGGGGAGCAAACAGG
rnacentral:rRNA from 1 species